rnacentral:rRNA from 1 species
UACGUAGGGUGCGAGCGUUGUCCGGAUUUAUUGGGUUUAAAGGGUGCGUAGGCGGGAGAGUAAGUUCGCUUUUAAAGCCGGCCGCUUAACGGUCAGGUAGGGGGCGGAUACUGCUUUUCUUGAGAGGGCUCGGGGCUGGCGGAAUUUGUGGUGUAGCGGUGAAAUGCAUAGAUACCACAAGGAACACCGAUCGCGUAGGCAGCCAGCCAGGGCCUUUCUGACGCUGAGGCACGAAAGUGCGGGGAGCAAACAGG